CGCUGAGAGAUUUUUAUGGACCUUGAGUGAACCAGAGUCACUGAGGAUUAUUUUUCUCGCCUUUCCCUUAAUCCUUAGUUACCUAUCAACGGGUGAUUUUGCUGGAAUCCUAACGCUAUCCAUUUCAAAUUAACCAGAACCAUGUGAAUAUCAAGAUUUAAUAGUGAACAUUUCAAAGAUGGAAUCCCAUGAAUUGCCAAAGCCAAGUGAACUUAUGACUUGAAAGAUGUAACCUGGAGACUAUUUAAUCACGCCAUUGAACUCAUCAACAUUCAAGUUGCCAUUGAAGGUUAACCAGAUGAUGAUUAUUUAAUUGGUGAUAAUUAGCUUUCGUUUGGAAGAGCCGGACAAUUAAUAAUGAAUAUUUCAAUGCAAUGACAGUUUUAAUGGACGUCAGGUUUUUGUCCGUGAUAUUGUGGUGAAGUCCUUGGACCAACUGUCUAUUUAACUGAUUACUCAGAGGAUUCACCGCAUUCAUUAUUCAUCAGUUGAAUUGUUAAUGGAUCUAUUUCAUGAUCGAGCUUCUCACCAUUUCACCCGUUGAAUCUUACCAAUGCUUAUCAAUCUAAUCAAGAGAAACAUUCAUUAGCAGAUUUGCGUUUUACACCUUUAAUCUUACUCGUAUUAUGGUCAUGUCGAUAUCAGCAUUAAUGUCCGGACUGACUGGUAAAUUGGUGGCUUGGAUAAUCAAAUGAUUUAGAUGAACAAAAUUGCAUGAUUGACUUUUGGAUAAGAUCGUCAUCAAGUGUAUUAAUAUUACAAUCAUGAUUCUCUUCCGCUUUGCUUACCUGCAUUCAGAAAUAAGGUGAAGCUGAUUCUUUGAAUUUUACAUUUAAAUGAACAUUAAAAAGAUGUUUGGCCUCGAAAAAAAAGGAUCAUUUUUGGACGAAUAACGUAUUUGGUGGUUUUCAUUUCAAAUGGAUUGGGUCCAUACAGAUUAUACUGAUUGGUGAUGUUAACAUAUUUAUCAUCUUCAGUCAACAUUGAUGACAUUAAAUGAUUACGCCCCAAGAUACACCUUUAACCUUGUGAUUAACUCGUGACAUUUUAAUUAAAAUAUCAAUCAGCCUUAAUUGUCAUCAUGUUUUUCAACUUCACCCUCAAUAUAUUACACACUGAAUUACAUCAGAACUGGUCAAUUAAUGGAAGUGAAGGUCAGUUGACUAAUGUUUGCUGGUCUUUGGUGUGUUUGUUAAUAUUGAUUAAAAUACAUUUAAUGGUUGAUUAUAAUUUGAAUCGUUUUGGCAUAAAAAAAGAUAUUUACAUUUAAUAGUUGAAAUAAUGUGAAACGGGGAAUCGAAGCUAAUCAUGAAAAGAUGAAUGCAACCAGCAAGCAAAAAAAAACAUGAUUAUUCAGCAACAUACAUGGUUACAAAUUGACCUGACGAUCGAAAACUGUUGCCGCUAGGAAAUAAUUAACAAUCUUGAUUUGUAUAUUAACAAAAUGAUGAUCAACAUGAAAACAACAACAAUUUAACCGAGUUUAAUCCUGAUUUCCGUUUUUAUUUUACUUUCACCUUUUUAAUAUCACUUUCUCUUCCCGCCUUUAGCUUCUUUCUACCGUUUGUUUAUGCCAAUUAUGCUUUCUCCUCUUUUAGCCUUUCACCUUCCCUCAAUAAGAUGGGUUAAUAAGCCAAACAAGUUUAACCGUUUCUGCUGUCUUAUUCACCUCUUCAUCAUCUGAAUUAAUUAUUAUCAAUCGAAGAACAGCCUUCGAAAUGUUUGAUCUUCCCAUCAAAAAAUUGUGUAUAAAAGCGAAGAGGUCAUCAAAUGAAAAUCUGUUCUUGUUAAUCAGUUAGUCGCUUCAACACUAAAUAAUAUUUACCUUUUGUGUCUUACCUCACAACCAAAUAAUCUCAACAUGCGUUUCUUGGUUAUUGUUGCUGUCACCAUCAUGUGCUUUGAUUUCAUUGUUGAGGCCGGCCAUAUUCCUUACAUCCCAGACAAACUUCUUGGAAAAUUAGCUCCACCACUUCUUUUCCUUGGAGGUGCUUACGGUACUGCUGCUGUUGGUGCUGCCAUUGGAGCCGGUUUGGCCAAGCAAAAGCGUCACGGAGGUCACGGAGGUAUGGGUGGUAUGGGUGGUAUGCACCUUUUCGCCGUUCACCCUGGUCUUCAAUACGGUCAUGUUGCUCCUCUUGAUCAUCAAAUCUAAGCUGUUAAGGUCUUAAAAUAAUUAAUUUGAUAUUGUUAUUUCACUCCUUCGCUCUUUUUUUGACUGAAUCUUUUUUAUUGCUUCCUGGAUCAAUGGAAACUUUGUUUGAAGCUUAGUAAAUUAUUAUUACUCUCCAUCAUCUUCAUCGUCAUCACCAUCAUCAAUGGAGUGCAACCUUUCAUCAACAUCAAUCAUUAUUUAAACAAUGUCACAAUCAUCGUUAUUUAUUAUGAUUUACAUCCAGUUCGUAGUCAUUAAAUUAAAAUAAAUUAUAUUAACUGGCA